GCGUGAGACUAAGUUCAGAGCCAGCGAGAUACAGAAGGAUGAAGAGUGGGACAAAGGGAAGAGUGAGUACAAAAAGGGGGGAUGGAGGAAAAAAUAUGGAAGCAGCCAGUGACUGCUGGAAGCAGGGCGCCCACGCCCCGUGCAACAUGUGCGGGUGGUGGAGACAGGUAUUUAACGGUCAGCGUCCCGCAGCUGCGCCCUUCCCUCCAAGACGCGCUCCGUCUCCUCGUCGCCGACACUCAGCCCAACGCGUGGCAACGACGACAGCGCCAUCUCGCCCGACCGGACCCUGCACGGUCGUUACCAGCGCCCUCCCACAUCAGGGUCUUCCCUUCUCUCUCUCUCUUUCUCGACCCUCCCCGCCCCCUGACCACUCUCCUUCCGAAGGGAGGAUCUCUUGCCGUCUUUCAUCGCCAGCGCCACCGCUGCUGCUUCUUCUACCUCCCGAACGAACCUGCCACUGCUCUUCUCCAGAGGAACAAGGGAGAGUUUAAAGAGAACUUUAACAAAGAUUUCAUUACCGCUAAGAGAGAAAAAAAAAAAGAACACAGUUAACAUAGUUCUGUCGUUUGACCAAGACACGAGGAAGCUUUGCAGGCAAUCAUUGAAGUCCUGAAGACGUCGAGGACACGCUAGUCACUGGACAAAAGCUGGUCAGGAAGAAAGAAGGGUAGCGAGGAAACAGACGGGUGGCUGUAGUAGUUUAGUGCUGGAGACAGAGACGUCACCGUGCCACAUCGAGGCUCUCUUCUCUUGGGAUACUUGCUGUUGUCCGAAGACCGUUUCUCAGGAGUUGGUGCUGGUCUAGGUGCAACCCUCAUCCAAUGGAGUUGACGUCCCGACGCCUGGCAGCGGGUGCAGUGCUACUUGUGGGUCUCCUGGCCGCUACAGUGACGUCAGCUCCGGUGCCGGAGGAUCUGUUGCAGGCGUACACACUCUCGCAGGCCCUCAGCCCUCGCCAGAUCUCCACUGUCCUCAGGCUUCUCCACUUCAUCGAAGCAGACGUCGACGUGAAUAAUGCAGACAUACGUGACGACACGUUGGGAACCGGAUGGACGACGGUGACUAUGGAAACAGUAGCUUAAAGAAAAGAGGUUUCGGCAUCGCAGGUCUAGACAACGUGGACAUGAUCACCAGCACUUUGGACAGGUCCAGGUCGUUGUCACGCUCACGGCAGACUCCUGUGAUGUCACCGGGCUUGUCCAUCGAGCAGCUGCGAGAGCUCAUGCGCAAAGCUGGCUGAACGUCACGGCGCAUGCGUGAGACUGCGCACGACCUCCACAGCGAUGCCGGGGCCGAUAAAUGACACUUCCGUUACUUCUAUGCCUACGGGCUGUGCGAAUGGCGAGUUAUUGAAAUUGUGUACAAAAUAAGGAUAAUAAUAGUAAGAAUAAUAAAAGAGUGUUGGCGUAA